CUACGGGCGGCGGCAGUGAGGAAUAUUGCACAAUGGGGGGAACCCUGAUGCAGCAACGCCGCGUGGAGGAUGACGCAUUUCGGUGUGUAAACUCCUUUAUAUGUCAAGAAAAUGACGGUAGCAUAUGAAUAAGCACCGGCUAACUCCGUGCCAGCAGCCGCGGUAAUACGGAGGGUGCAAGCGUUACUCGGAAUCACUGGGCGUAAAGGACGCGUAGGCGGGUUGGAAAGUCAGGUGUGAAAUCCUACAGCUUAACUGUAGAACUGCACUUGAAACUUCUAAUCUAGAGUAUGGGAGGGGGAGAUGGAAUUAGUGGUGUAGGGGUAAAAUCCGUAGAUAUCACUAGGAAUACCUAAAGCGAAGGCGAUCUCCUGGAACAUUACUGACGCUAAGGCGUGAAAGCGUGGGGAGCAAACAGGAUUAGAUACCCUAGUAGUC
rnacentral:rRNA from 1 species